UACAGAGGGUGCAAACGUUGCUCGGAAUUAUUGGGCGUAAAGCGCGUGUAGGCGGCUUGUUAAGUUGGUUGUGAAAACCCAUGGCUCAACCAUGGAAGGGCGUCCAAAACUGGCAAGCUAGAGUCCCGACGAGGAUGGCGGAAUUCCCAGUGUAGAGGUGAAAUUCGUAGAUAUCGAGAGGAACACCGGUGGCGAAGGCGGCCUUCUGGACAGUGACUGACGCUGAGACGCGAAAGCGUGGGGAGCAAACAGG
rnacentral:rRNA from 1 species